rnacentral:rRNA from 1 species
UUCGUCACACUAUCAUUAACUGAAUCCAUAGGUUAAUGAGGCGAACCGGGGGAACUGAAACAUCUAAGUACCCCGAGGAAAAGAAAUCAACCGAGAUUCCCCCAGUAGCGGCGAGCGAACGGGGAGCAGCCCAGAGCCUGAAUCAGUGUGUGUGUUAGUGGAAGCGUCUGGAAAGGCGCGCGAUACAGGGUGACAGCCCCGUACACAAAAAUGCACAUACUGUGAGCUCGAUGAGUAGGGCGGGACACGUGGUAUCCUGUCUGAAUAUGGGGGGACCAUCCUCCAAGGCUAAAUACUCCUGACUGACCGAUAGUGAACCAGUACCGUGAGGGAAAGGCGAAAAGAACCCCGGCGAGGGGAGUGAAAAAGAACCUGAAACCGUGUACGUACAAGCAGUGGGAGCACGCUUAGGCGUGUGACUGCGUACCUUUUGUAUAAUGGGUCAGCGACUUAUAUUCUGUAGCAAGGUUAACCGAAUAGGGGAGCCGAAGGGAAACCGAGUCUUAACUGGGCGUUAAGUUGCAGGGUAUAGACCCGAAACCCGGUGAUCUAGCCAUGGGCAGGUUGAAGGUUGGGUAACACUAACUGGAGGACCGAACCGACUAAUGUUGAAAAAUUAGCGGAUGACUUGUGGCUGGGGGUGAAAGGCCAAUCAAACCGGGAGAUAGCUGGUUCUCCCCGAAAGCUAUUUAGGUAGCGCCUCGUGAAUUCAUCUCCGGGGGUAGAGCACUGUUUCGGCAAGGGGGUCAUCCCGACUUACCAACCCGAUGCAAACUGCGAAUACCGGAGAAUGUUAUCACGGGAGACACACGGCGGGUGCUAACGUCCGUCGUGAAGAGGGAAACAACCCAGACCGCCAGCUAAGGUCCCAAAGUCAUGGUUAAGUGGGAAACGAUGUGGGAAGGCCCAGACAGCCAGGAUGUUGGCUUAGAAGCAGCCAUCAUUUAAAGAAAGCGUAAUAGCUCACUGGUCGAGUCGGCCUGCGCGGAAGAUGUAACGGGGCUAAACCAUGCACCGAAGCUGCGGCAGCGACGCUUAUGCGUUGUUGGGUAGGGGAGCGUUCUGUAAGCCUGCGAAGGUGUGCUGUGAGGCAUGCUGGAGGUAUCAGAAGUGCGAAUGCUGACAUAAGUAACGAUAAAGCGGGUGAAAAGCCCGCUCGCCGGAAGACCAAGGGUUCCUGUCCAACGUUAAUCGGGGCAGGGUGAGUCGACCCCUAAGGCGAGGCCGAAAGGCGUAGUCGAUGGGAAACAGGUUAAUAUUCCUGUACUUGGUGUUACUGCGAAGGGGGGACGGAGAAGGCUAUGUUGGCCGGGCGACGGUUGUCCCGGUUUAAGCGUGUAGGCUGGUUUUCCAGGCAAAUCCGGAAAAUCAAGGCUGAGGCGUGAUGACGAGGCACUACGGUGCUGAAGCAACAAAUGCCCUGCUUCCAGGAAAAGCCUCUAAGCAUCAGGUAACAUCAAAUCGUACCCCAAACCGACACAGGUGGUCAGGUAGAGAAUACCAAGGCGCUUGAGAGAACUCGGGUGAAGGAACUAGGCAAAAUGGUGCCGUAACUUCGGGAGAAGG